rnacentral:lncRNA from 1 species
GGGAAGUCUGAAAAUCUCUGAGUUAAGCAUAUUCUUACCUGAAUUCCCCUAUAGCUGUCUCCACUGCAUCUAACCAUAUAGAUUCCUAUCUUCUUUCCAGGUCUCUGAAGUUCUGGAACUUUGCUCUCCCUGGACUUCUGGCCUCUGUCCUUAACACACAAUGAGUCAGGAAGAAGGAUGAGUUAACAACAUGUGCACACACACACACACACACAUGCAUAUGAGGGAGAGAUGAUUUUUUUUUUUUGAAAGCUGACCGUCAGUCAUGACAACCACACAUUCCCUCCUGUGGAUGAUGUAAGAAUAGAGUACAAAUGUCACACAGGCUGCUGGUUACAGCUACCAAGACCCUUAUGAAAUCCCGCUCUAUCAUUUUUGUUAGAAUACCUGAAACAUAGGAGGUAUUUAAUGUGUACUUUUGAAUAAUGAAAGCUUCUUGGACUCACACCUAUCAUCCCACCCCAUCCUGCUGGACCCUAGAGAAGACAACCAGAUUCCUAGUUUUCCUAUGCUUCUCCUUGCUGUCUAAGGUGAGCAUCCUUUGGCCCCCUUGCCCUGUCUGGACAGAGUGGUCUGACAGCUCAUCCUUUGCCUUCUGGGUUGCUGUCCCAUUCAGGGUUCAGUCAGGAGCAGAAAUCACACCAGCUAUUCAAAUGAGAGAAUUUAAUACAAAAGAUUGUUGGCAGGCACAAGAUUGUCCCACUGGAGAAGAGGCAAGGAGAGAAGCAAACCUGCUGUCAUGGAGGUAGUAACUGCAGGAAGCAGCCACCACCCCCAGAGCCGUAGGUACAAGGCAAGAGACCCAUAUACUCAAACUCAGAGACCCGGAGGGUGGGCCAUGGAGCUGAAGCUCAGAUGCCUGAGGAGGAGGCUCAGCAGCUGCUGGUGUCUGAUCUUAGAGAAGGGGCCCCCAGCCCCAGUCAGUACUGAUGUCUCCAACAUGGGAGGGGUGCAAGAACACGACCCUGAUUUGAGAGACUUUAAGUGGGAUUCAGUUGCUACCACAGGAAGGAAUUGUUGUUGCAAUUACACAAUGAGGGGAGGCUGGAAUGCUCCCAGGAGCCCAAGCCCACAGCAAGCAGGUGGGGGAAGCUUUCUCCUCUGGGAAUGCAGUCUCCUGGGGGUGAGAGGAAUCCCGGCCCUGCCUCAUAAAGCAGGCCUGGAGCAGAGGACAGAAUAUGGGGCUGAGAGACAGCAACUUGAUGACUG